UUUGUACUUAUUUCUGUAACGAGAUGGGAUCUGAAGUCUCCUGAAGGUUCCAUCCAACUCCUAUUCCGACUCGUCCACGUAGUGCAGGGUGCUCACAUGGGCCUAAAUCCUACCUUUCGGGCUCAUGGCUAAGGAGGAAGUA
rnacentral:ribozyme from 1 species